rnacentral:rRNA from 3 species
AACGCGAAGAACCUUACCAGGUCUUGACAUCCUCUGACAACUCUAGAGAUAGAGCGUUCCCCUUCGGGGGACAGAGUGACAGGUGGUGCAUGGUUGUCGUCAGCUCGUGUCGUGAGAUGUUGGGUUAAGUCCCGCAACGAGCGCAACCCUUGAUCUUAGUUGCCAGCAUUCAGUUGGGCACUCUAAGGUGACUGCCGGUGACAAACCGGAGGAAGGUGGGGAUGACGUCAAAUCAUCAUGCCCCUUAUGACCUGGGCUACACACGUGCUACAAUGGAUGGUACAAAGGGCUGCAAGACCGCGAGGUCAAGCCAAUCCCAUAAAACCAUUCUCAGUUCGGAUUGUAGGCUGCAACUCGCCUACAUGAAGCUGGAAUCGCUAGUAAUCGCGGAUCAGCAUGCCGCGGUGAAUACGUUCCCGGGCCUUGUACACACCG